CUCAACCCAAAAGAAAGCACAAAAAGAGGAAAACAGGCACAAACAACAGGUAGGACAAAUGAACAAGUAGCAAGUUAUUAGAUUUCAACCUAACCACUGAAUAGUUACACUAAAUGAAAAUAAUCUAAACACUUCACAGACAGGCUGAAUUUUUUCUAAAAGUCAGACUGGAUAAAAAAUAAUACCCAAGUAUAUGCUGUAUACAAGAAACCCACUUUAAUCAUAAAGGCAUAGAUAAAAAGUAAAAUCAUAUAAAAAUAUGUGUCAUAAAAACACUAAUUAUAAGAAAGCCAGAAUGGUUAUAUUACUAUCAGACAAAGUAGACUUCAGUACAAAAAAUAUUACCAGGGAUAAUAAGGGAUAUUUAAUAAUGAUAAAGGAUUAAUUCAUAAAGAGGGCAUAAAAAUCUUAAAUGUGUAUGCAUUUUUAAAAAGACCCUCAAAAUACAUGAAAACUGAAAGAACUGCAAGGAGAAACAGAAAAAUCUACUAUAGUUGAAGACUUAAUCCGUCUGUCUUAGUAAUUGAUAGAACAAGUGGAAAAAAAAUCAGUAAAGCCAUAGAACUAAAUAACAGCAUUAACUAAUUUGACCUAUUGACAUUUCUAGAACACUGAUCCAACAAGCGCAAGAUUGUUGUAUUUUUUUCAAGCAUAUGGAGAGAAUUCACCAAGAUAAAUCACAUGCUGGGCCAUACAGCUCAAUUAAAAAAAAGCUGUUAAUAUACUCAUAGGCAGAAGAGAAGCUAGUAUACCCAUGGAACAAGAAUACUCUAAAAAAUCAUAGAAUAAUAACAGCAAAACCUUAGACAUUAUAAAUACACAAGAUAGAAGAAAUGAAACACUACAGACAUGUGACAAGAUAAAGUGAGGAAAUCUCCCAUAAAGUAGAGGAAACUGCAAACACACAUGCACACAAGGGGAAUGGUAGAGAAAAGAUGAAAACUUGUGUGACAUCUGAAUAAAAGGAGUUUUGGAAAGAGAACAGAAAAUUUGGAGGGGAGAAAAUAGUCACAUACUACUUUAAGAAAAUUUUCUUAAAGGACAUUGGUGUCUAGACUAAAAGGGCCUAUUGAGUAUCCAGUAUAUUGGAUGAAAAUAGACUCACCCUAAAGCAAGUCAUCAUGAAAUACUGAGGAUGAAUGAAAGAUGCUACAAGUUUCCAGGGUGGUGGGAGCAAUAAAGGAUCUGAAAUCACAAUGGCUUCUUUCAACAGCGACACUGGGAUCUAAAAGAUAAUAGAGCAAUGCCUUCAACAUUCUGAAGGCAAGUGCUUUUUAUUUUGAAUUUGAUAACUUACCAAACUAUCGAUUAAACAUGAGAGUAGAAUAAAGACAAAUUCUAGAAAUCCAAGGUCUCAAAAUUUUACCUUCCAUGUAUCCUUGAUCAGGAAUUUACUGGAGGAUGUGCUCCAGGAAAACAAUGGAGUGUUUGGGAAGCUGAGCUGGAACUACAGGUGUGUGCCACCAUAGGCAAGAGCCACUGCGCUUGGCUUUUUUUUUUUUUGAGGCAGGGUCUUACUCUGUUGCCCAGGCUGGAGUGCUGUAGUGUGACCAUGGCUCACUGCAGCCUCAACAUCUUGAGCUCAAGCAAUCCUCUCAUCUUAGCCUCCUGAGUAGCUGGGACUACAGGUGCACACCACUACAUCUGGCUAAUUAAAAAAUUUUUUUUUGCAGAGACAGGGUCUCAUGUUGCCCAGGCUGGUCUUGAACUCCUGGGAUGAAACAAUCCUCCUGCUUAGGCUUCCUAAAGUGCUAGGAUUACUGGCAUGAAACACCAUGCCUGGCCUGUUUGUCAUAUUUUCUAUCAUUGGAUCUUUGUGCCUAAGUUUUUGGAGAGGUUUCCAAUUUUUUUCUUUCCCACUGUUCCUGGGGCUAAGGCCACGAUACAAAAGUAUUCCCACUGUCUUUCUCAUCAUAUGCGAGGGGAUAUUCUAGUAAACACACUGAAACUGCUGCUUUUCAGGGCUCCAUGCUUUGGGCACAUAUCUCUGAUCUAACCUCCUCAACUUGCUCAAGUCCUGGGCUCUGUCUUCCACGCAUACGAUACCCUUUAAAGCAUAGGCUUUAGACCCUGAGGGAAUGGCGGAUAUUCCUAGGGCAAGCAUUAGUACUUUUUUUGAAUUUGUACUUGCCCUUUUUUCUAGCCUCAGAAGAUAAUCAUUACCUCUUGAUAGUUUAAUCAUACUCAUGUUUUAAAAUUAUAUAUAUAUUUCCAUAUGUAUAUGCACAAGUGUGUUUAUAUACCUAUUUUUUCAGGCUUUUUACUGUUGUUUAGCAAGUUUCUCUGGCAGUUGUUAGAAACUUGUCUAUCUAUCUGAUCUUUAAAUUGCUGUAAUUGUAAAUCUCUUAGCAUGGCAAAUUAAAAACUAAGAAAAGAGCAUCAUUGCCAUCUGGUGGAGAGACCUACUAUUACCAAUCUAAAUGAGACCCAAUGAUUCAGGCAAGGCCUUCUCAUUCCUCCCACAUUUAGUAACUGAGUCCUGUCAAAUCUUUAAUUAUUAGGUCUUUCAAAUCUGUCCCUUGACUUCCAUUCUCCCAGUGCCUUAGUCUAGUUUCUUUUUUUUUUCUUUCUUUUUUUUUGCUAAAAUCAUUGCUUUUGAAUUGGUCUCCUUCUUCUUCUUCUUCUUUUUUUUUUCUAAAGAGAAGGGGUCUCACUUUGUCACCCAGGCUGGAGUGGAAUGGCAUGAUCACAGCUUACUGCCACCUUGAAUUCCUAGGCUCAAGGGAACUCCUCCCAUCUCAACCUUCAGAAUAGCUGGGACAACAGGCGCAUGCCACUGUACCCAGCUAAUUUUUAAAUUUUCUGUAGAGAUGGGGUCUCACCAUCUUGCCCAGACUGGUCUUCAACUCUUGGGCUCAAAUGAUCCUCUCGCCUCAGCCUCCCAAAGUGCUGGGAUUACAGGUGUAAGCCACUACAGUUGGCUUUUCUCCCUUUAGUUACUAUUCUUUCAAAAUAUUUUCCUUGUUCCUGUUGUCAAUCUUAUUUUUACACUUCCACAUUAAUUUGAUGUUUUUGUUUUGUUUUCUUUGAGACAAAGUCUCACUCUAUUGCCCAGGCUGGAGUGCAGUGGUGCUAUCUGGGCUCAUUGCAACCUCCACCUCCCGGGUUCAAGCGAUUCUCCUGCCUCAGUCUCCUGAUAGGUGAGAUUACAGGUGUGCGCCACCACACCCAGCUAAUUUUGUAUUUUUAGUAGAGAUGGGGUUUCACCAUGUUAGCCAGGCUGGUCUUGAACUCCUGACCCCAGGUGAUCCACCCACCUCAGCCUCCCAAAAUGCUGGGAUUACAGGCAUGAGCCACUGCACCCGGCCUUAAUUUGAUGGGUUCUGUAUCAAGUUCUUGCUUAUGAGCAAAAACUGUGGAACCAAUAACAGCAGUCUGGCUAGAGAUGAGAACAAUGUAGAAGUCCAAUAAAUGCUGUCUGAAUUGAAAAAGUGGCACCAUUUGCUCAUUUGCCUAAUUUAUCUAGGAAGCAGUACACGCGCAGAAAUUCCCAAGCUGUUUUCUAUAAUAACAUAUUAAUGAACGACAUUCACAUGUGUAAUACUCCUGUGGGCUUACCCAGAGUUUUUUUUUUUAAACUUAAAAUUAUUUUUAAUUACAAAAGGCAUACAUACCUAACACUUUAAACAUUCACAGUUUUGUGAAUGAACAAAUACACUGAUAAUGCUGAGUGCCAGGGUUUUGACUGUGGAAGAAGAUAAAAGUAAGGAAUAGGAAAAGGCAAGGAAGAACCCUGUAGCGGUUGGACUGGAACUGGAGAUAUCAGGAAAACUUGUGAUUUCUAAUACAUGUUUCCUAGCUCUUUCUGUCAAAGGGGCCUAAAAGCAAUGACAACCCAGGAGGCUCAGAUCAUGGUUUCUAAAAACCAUUCUCCACUAAAAGAAACUAAGGCUCUUUGGAGAAAUGGCUGAUUCCAAGGCUUUAGUAGAAUAUUUUCCUUAUAGUAGAAUGCCACAGAAUAAACACAGAAAUAAUAAUACAAUUGGAAGAAUCCCCACUUGGCAACACCAGAGUAACAAUUAAUUCCACCAAGAAAUAUCACUGGAUGCUAAAAUGAGUGUGUGAAAGUUUGUUGAGAAACAAAAUAGUUAUCAUCUGAAAGUAUUUCCCCACAAAAUGCUUACUAACUUAACGUAAAAAAUUAGAAACUUUACAGUAGAGUAAUAUAGCAGAUAUCACCUAAUACAAGUGAUCAAAAUUAACAUCCUUGUAAUGGGACAACUGACACCAUGAUACGGUGCACUGAAAAGAACAAUGCCAUUUCUGUGGUAUCCCCGCCAAAAAUGUAUAAGCUCAGUCUAAUCAUCAAGAAAUACCAGAAAAACCCAGAUUAAGAGUUACUCUAUAAAAAGUCUACGGGUUGGGAACAAUAGACACUGAGGACUACUAGAGGAGGGAGGGAGGGAAGGUGCAAGGGUUGGAAAACUACCUAUUGGGUACUAUGCUCACUACCUGGGUGUCGGGAUCAAUGGUGCCCCAAACCUCAGCAUCACGCAAUAUACCCAUGUAACAAACUUGCACAUAUACUCCCUGAGUCUAAAAUAAAAGUUGAAAUUAAAAAAAAAAAUACAACUGGCCCAUAACCUUGGCAUUUUGAAAGACUGGCUGAAGAACUGCUCCAGAAUAAAUGAGACUACAGACAUGACAACUAAAUGUAAUGUUACUCCAGAGUGGAUCCAGAUCAGACUUUUUUUUUUUUUUGCAUAUUACUGAAACAAUUAGCAAAAUAUGAAAAAGAUUUGAUAAUAGUAAAGUAUUAAUGUUAAUUUUCUGAUUUUGGUAAUUGUGCUAUGGCUAUGCAGGAAAACACCCUUGUUCUUUGGAAAUACAAACUUAAGUAAUUGGGGUAAAGAGGCACCACAUCUAGUAAGGAAUAUUCAAAUGGCUCAGAAAAAAGUACUUACUCGAAGUUGAUGAUAAAGGGAAACCUCUUCCUUACAGUAGAAUGAUGACUAAUUAAUACAGAAAUAAUAAUAGAGUUAGAACAAUCACAAUUUUGGAAACAUCCUAGUAAAAAUUUAUUCAGACAAGAAUCGUCAAAGGAUGCUAAACCUAGGAGGGGUAGAUUUGAUGAGGAACAGAAUUGUCAACAAGGUCUCAAAGUUUCUCCUCACAAAUUACCCACUAAUUGCAAAAGGAAAAACAAUAACGAUACACUGGAGAAACUGGACAUCUUACCCAAGUGAUCAAAAUUAGCAUCACCAAUAAGGGACAAAUGGACAUUCUGUGCAUCUGGAUGUAUACCUGCAAUACAUAUCACUUACAGCAUUUCAACCCUCACUGCACUACCCCAAUCUAACCAUGAGGAAACAUCAGAAAAACCCAAAUAGAAGGAUACUCUAUCCUUUAGCUGUCCUGUAUUUUUCAAAUAUAUUACUAUUAUAAAAAACAAAGAAAAGCUGAGGAACUGCUCCAGAUUAGAGGGUUAUGGCAAUACAACAUAUGAUCCUAGGCUGGAUCGUGGAGCUGAAAAAAAUUACCAAUAAAACAGCAAAUGAAAUUGAAAUAUGGACUGUAAAGUAUUAUGGCAAUGUUAAAUUUCUGAACUUGAUAGCUGUACUUGGGUAAGACAGCAUGCUUGUUCUUAUGAAGUGCAUGUGUAGUGUUAAAGGGUAAAGAGUAUGAUGUCUACAAUAUACUUUCUAAUGGGUCGAGGAUUCUAGGAUACACACCCCCAGUUAAGGGAACUGGGAGUUAAAAGGUAUUCGAAGGCUGCCAUAAGGAUGUAAAGAGUUAAGUCUCUACCCUUACACCCACUCCAGAGAAAAACAGUACUAUUAGCUUCCUGUGUUUUCCACAUGGAUACAAAAACUUUUGCACACAUAUGUAAUUCUUCUAUCAUUCUGACAGCUAUAUAUUCUAAUGGAUGAAUAUAUAAAAUGUACUUAAGUGUUCUAUUGGCAUUUGUUUCUAGUAUCUUUUAUAUUACAAUCUGAUAUCUUAACAGAUUCUUUCAUCACUUUUACAUUUAUUUUGAUAAAAGUUAGGUUUGGCUUUAAUUCCUUGUUUUUAAACUUUUUUUCUGCAUUUUUCAACUCUGGCUGUGGCAUAAGGCCUUAAUUCUGUCAUCUUAUUUGGUUAUAGUGUCUGUUUGUAUGUCUUCCUUUUAAAAAUAUUUUAUGUUCAUGUUUUGUUUUAGGGUUUUCCUCCUCAUCUAGUAAAUACUUCUAUUCAAUUUAUGACCAUCAUUAUUAUUAUUUAGAGAAUAUGGAGAUGGUUCUGAGGUACAAUACAACAAAAAUCUUCAUAGGAGAACCUAAGUGCGGCCACUGGAUGAUCCAUUCAUGGAAGGAGGCUACUCAAAGUAUGAAGAUAAAAUGUGAGCUGGACAAGAACUACAAAACACGCUGAAAGAAAUCAGAGAUGACACAAACAAAUGGAAAAACAUUCCAAGCUCAUGAGCUAGAAGAAUCAAUAUCAUUAAAAUGGCCAUACUGCCCAAAGCAAUCCACAGAUUCAAUGCUAUUCCUAUCAAACUACAAACAUCAUUUUUCACAGAAUUAGAAAAAUCCUGCCGGGUCCAGUGGCUCACGCCUGUAAUCCCAGCACUUUGGGAGGCUGAGGCGGGUGGAUCACAACGUCAGGAGUUCAAGACCAGCCUGGCUAAGAUGAUGAAACCCCAUCUCUACUAAAAUUACAUAAAUUAGCUGGGCAUGGUUGGCGGGCUCCUGUAAUCCCAGCUAUUUGGGAGGCUGAGGCAGGAGAAUUGCUUGAACUCAGGAGGCAGAGGUUGCAGUGAGCUGAGAUUGCACAGCUGCACUCAGAGCCUGGGAGACACAGCAAGACUCCGUCUCAAAAAAAAAAAAAAAGAAAAAAUCCAUUCUAAAAUUCAUAUGGAACCAAAAAAUCAAUCCUAAGCAAAUAAAACAAAGCUGAGGUAUCACAUUACCUGAGUUAAACUAUACUAUAAGGAAGCUACAGUAACCAAAACAGCAUGGUACAGAUAUAAAAACAGACCCAUAGACCAAUGGAAUGGAACAGACAGAAAUAAAGCUACACACCUACAGCCAUCUGACCUUUGACAAAGUUAACAAAAAUAAGCAACAGAGAAAGGAUUCCCUAAUUCAAUAAAUGGUGCUGGAACAGCUGUCUAGCCAUAUGCAGAAGACUCAAACUGGACCCCUUUCACCAUAUAUAUAAAAUUACCUCAAGAUAGAUUAAAGAUUUAAAUAUAAGGGGCCGGGUGCAGUGGCUCAUGCCUGUAAUCCCAGCACUUUGGGAGACUGAGGUGGGUGGAUCACUUGAGGCUCGGAAUUCAAGACCAGCCUGGCCAACAUGGUAAAACCCCAUUCCUACUAAAAAUAGAAAAAUUAGCCAGGCGUGGUGGCAUGUGCCUGUAAUCCCAGUUAGGUUGGGAGGCUGAGGCAUGAGAAUCGCUUGAGCCUGGGAGGUGGAGGUUGUGGUGAGCCAAGAUUGUACCACUGUACUCCAGCCUGGGCAACAGAAGGAGACUCUGUCUUUGGGGAAAAAAAAAAAAAAAGAUUUAAAUGUAAGACUUCAAGCUAUAAGAGUCCUAGAAGAAAACCUACGAAAUAACAUCUGGACAUCAGCUAUGGGAAAGAACUUACGGCUAAGUCCUCAAAAGCAAUUGCAACAAAAACAAAAAUUGACAAGUGGAACCUAAUCAAACUAAAGAGCUUCUGCACCGCAAAAGGAACUAUCAAUACAGUAAACAGACAACCUACAGAAUGGGAGAGAAUAUUCACAAACUGUGCAUCUGAAAAAGGUCUAAUGUCCAAAAUCUAUAAGGAACUAAAACAAUUCAGAAAACGAAAACCAAGUAACUCGUGGCCAGGUGUGGUGGCUCACUCCUGUAAUCCCAGCACUUUGGGAGGCUGAGAUGGGUGGAUCACCUGAGGUCAGGAAUUCGAGACCAGGCUGGCCAACAUGGUGAAACCCUGUCUCUACUAAAAGUACCAAAAUUAGCCACGCUUGGUGGCAGGCACCUGUAAUCCCAGCAACUCAGGAGGCUGGGGCAGGAGAAUCGCUUGAACCCGGGAGGUGGAGGUUGCAGUGAGCUGAGAUGGUGCCAUUGCACUCUAGCCUGGGUGACAACAGUGAAACUCCAUCUCAAAACAAAAACAAAAACAAAAAUACACACACACAAACAAAAACCCAUUAAAAAAAUGCCAAAAGACUUGAACAGACACUUCUCAAAAGACAACAUACAAGCGGUUAACAAACAUGAAAAAAUGCUCAACAUUACUAAUCAGAUAAAUGCAAAUCAAAACCACAAUGAGUUACAAUCUCACACCAGUCAGAAUGGCUAUUAUCAAAAAGUCAAAAAAAUAACAGAUGCUGGUGAGGCUGUGGGAAAAACGGAAUGCUUCAACACUGUAGAAGCCAGUGCAGUGUAGAAUGCGCCUACACUGAUGGAAAUGCAAAUUAGUUCAGCCACUGUGAAAGCAGUUUGGAGAUUUCUCAAAGAAGUUAAAACAGAACUACCAUUUGAACCAGCAAUCCCAUGACUGGAUAUAAAUCCAAAUGAAAAUAAAUUGUUCUACCAAAAAGACACAUACACUCACAUAUUCAUCACAGCACUAUUCACAACAGCAAAGACACAGAAUCAACCUAGAUGCUCAUUAAUAGUGGACUGGAUAAAGAAAAUUGGUACAUAUACACCACAGAAUACUAUGCAGCCAUAAAAAAGAAUGAAAAUCAUGUCUUUUGCAGCAACAUGGAUGCAGCUGGAGGUCAUUAUAGUGAAUAUACACAGGAACAGAAAACCAAAGACCGCAUGUUCUCACUUAUCAGUGGGAACUAAGCAAUGGGUACACAUGGACAUAAAAAUGAGAACAGACAUAGGGGACUACUGGAGGGAAGAGGGGAGGGAAGGGGUGAAAAACCACCUGUUGGACUCUAUGCUCACUACCUGGGUGACAGGAUCAUUUGUACCCCAAACCUCAGCAUCACAAAAUAUACCCAUAUAACUCACCUGCACAUGUACCCCUACAUCUAAAAUAAAAGUUGAAAUUAUAAAAACAACAACAACAACAAAAAAAAUGAAAUGUGAGUUAGGCAAGUCCAGAUUCUAGCUGAUCCCUGAGAAAUGUACUUUUCUCCAAGUCAAUGAAUCCAAUCUUUAAUGGAUCUGGGAUGCUCUCUGACCAGGUCCUGUUAUGAGUUUCCUGUGUUAUAAUUAAAAACCCCAAACUGAUUAAGCAUGAGAGGAUACUUCCUGCUCUCAGAUAAAUUAUUUAUUAUAUUCUGUAUUAUCCUUGUAAUUUUUCUGGAUAUGAAUAAAUAACAAUGUAUCUCAGAAAAACACACUUUCUAUACAUUUUGUAGUGAUAUGUAUUUAUACAUACUGCAGUUG
rnacentral:lncRNA from 10 species